GGUAAAUUCUGCCCUAUGGUUUUCUAAAUGGCUGCAGUAUUUUGACUGUGCAAAGGUAGCAUAGUAAUUAGUUUCUUAAUUAGAAGCUGGUAUGAAUGGAUUAAUGAGAAAGAUAUUUUAUUAAUUUCAUUUUUAUAAAUUAAAUUUUAAGUAAAAAUGCUUAAUUAAUUUCUAGGGACGAUAAGACCCUAUAGAACUUUAUAUAAUAUUAUAUAUUAAUAUAUUUUUAUAAAAAAUAUUAUAUUAAUAUUUAUUAUAAUUUGCUGGGGUGGUAGAUAAAUUUUAACUUUAUAUUUAAAUUUCAAUAAUUAAUGUAAAUAAUGAUCCUUAUGGAAUUUAAGAUUUAGUUACCUUAGGGAUAACAGCGCAAUUUAAGUGGGGAGUUCAUAUCUAUAUUUUAUUUUGCGACCUCGAUGUUGAAUUAAGGAAAGAUUAAGAAGUAGAGUUCUUGUAUCUAAGUCUGUUCGACUU
rnacentral:rRNA from 1 species